GUGUUCGGAUUGCGGCGACGUGGGCGGUUCGCCGCCCGCGACGUCGCAAGAAGUCCACUGAACCUUAUCAUUUAGAGGAAGGAGAAGUCGUAACAAGGUUUCCGUAGGUGAACCUGCGGAAGGAUCAUUGUCGAAUCCUGCAAACAACAGCGAACACGUUUCAUGAACCCGUGGGGCGCGGGCGGAUUCGCGUCCGUCCGUUUCCCCGCACCCAACAAAACUUCCGGCGCGGAAAGCGCCAAGGACUACUCAAACGGAUUGCCCGCAUCCCCUUGCGGUUCCCGCGGGGAGGUGCGGCGCGUCUGAAUCGUAACCAAUACGACUCUCGGCAACGGAUAUCUAGGCUCUCGCAUCGAUGAAGAACGUAGCGAAAUGCGAUACUUGGUGUGAAUUGCAGAAUCCCGUGAACCAUCGAGUUUUUGAACGCAAGUUGCGCCCGAAGCCAUUAGGCUGAGGGCACGUCUGCCUGGGCGUCACGCAUCGUCGCCACCCCCCUCGCAAUGCGAAGUGCGGGUGACGGAAGUUGGCCUCCCGUGUCUCCUGGCAGCGCGGCUGGCCUAAAACCGAGUCCUCCGUUCGGAGACGUCACGACUAGUGGUGGCUGAAAACCUCAUCCCGAUCGAAGCCGUGGCUCUUACCGACGCGGGGCGUGCUCAAAGACCCCGGAGCCUUUCGAGGCCCUCGACAAUGACCC
rnacentral:misc_RNA from 1 species